rnacentral:rRNA from 1 species
UCGUUUACCGUGAAAAAAUUAGAGUGUUCAAAGCGGGCAGAUAUUUUUCCUGCCACCGAAUACAUUAGCAUGGGAUAAUGGAAUAGGACCCUGACCUCCUAUUUUCAGUUGGUUUUGUUUACAGCGAGGUUAUAUCAGGGUAAUGAUUAAUAGGGAUAGUUGGGGGCAUUAAUAUUUAAUUGUCAGAGGUGAAAUUCUUGGAUUUAUGAAAGAUUAACUUCUGCGAAAGCGUUUGCCAAGGAUGUUUUCAUUAAUCAAGAACGAAAGUUAGGGGAUCGAAGACGAUCAGAUACCGUCGUAGUCUUAACCAUAAACGAUGCCGACCAGCGAUUAGGAGACGUUGAAUACAAAACACCGCCGUUAAUCC